rnacentral:lncRNA from 1 species
UUCUUCACAACCCUAGGGUUUUCAUUUGGAUUUGUUACGCCUUUAGCCCAGGAUCAUCGCUACAAUGUGGGGGAUCACGUCUCCUUAUUCGUCAACAAAGUUGGCCCCUUGAACAAUCCUAGGUAAAAUCACCUUCACUUCCCCUGUUUGCUUGCUCAGAAAAUGGAGGAAAAUGAAAUCAACACAAUUAUAAAAUCUUCCCAACCCAAGCUAAUUAAAGUCGUUUUAGUUGCUUUUGUUUAUCUUUCUUUUCAUUUCAUUUCCUUUUUACGCUGAACAACUUAAAAUGGAGCAGUUCAGUGAGAUGAUCCCAUUUCUGAACUGAAAUUAUGAAAAUAAAUCUCGCACUGUUUUCUUUUUUCCUUAUGCUUUCUGGAUUUGGGUCACCUCAAGUCUUCCAAUUCUCAAGUUCCGCCGCGGAAUCAAUAGCCUGUUGUAGGGAUCCACCAUCUCACGAGUCUUAUUAUUGUUUCAUUGUUGUAAUUCUCGUUAUUAUACCAAAUUAAGUACAUUUGGUUGACUUUAUGUUCUGUUCAUAUAGGAUUCUGAGCAUUAUCC